GACGAACGCUGGCGGCGUGCCUAACACAUGCAAGUUGAGCGACGAACCAGGGCUUGCCCUGGGGCAAAGCAGCGAACGGGUGAGUAACACGUGGGUAACCUACCCCGAUAACCGGGACAACCCGAGGAAACUCGGGCUAAUACCGGAUGUGCUCACUGAACUUCGGUUCAGUGCGUAAAGGAAGCUUCGGCCUCCGUAUCGGGAGGGGCCCGCGGCCCAUGAGCUAGUUGGUGAGGUAACGGCUCACCAAGGCCGCGAUGGGUAGCUGGUCUGAGGGGACGAUCAGGCACACUGGGACGGAGAAACGGCCCAGACGCAGACGGGAGGCAGCGGUGGGGAAUCUUGCGCAAUGCGCGAAAGCGGGACGCAGCAACGCCGCGUGGGGGAAGAAGGCCUUCGGGUUGUAAACCCCUUUCAGGAGGGACGAAGGUUCGGCGGUGAAUAGCCGUCCGGACUGACGGUACCUCCACAAGAAGCCCCGGCUAACUACGUGCCAGCCGCCGCAGUAA
rnacentral:rRNA from 1 species